AAUGCAUCUCUAUGAGGAGAUGCUGAUUGGCACAGCGUGGCGUUUUGCUGCGCAUGUGCAAUAAUCUCCCAAUACUUUCUUAUAGGAUGAUCUCAGACAUGGAGGCACGACAAGCCAUGGUGAAACCGGCACGGUGUUGGAAAUAAGGUGAGUUAAAACACCUUUCUCAUGCGAUCGGAGAGGGCAGGUACCUAAACAGACACAAACACUCUGUGACAUACACACUGACAGACACACACUGACCGACACACACCCAUUUUUCUCACACACUCACAAACUGAUAUGUUUGUUUUCAU